ensembl:lncRNA
GAGUCACUUGUCCUGAACUAGUGGAGUUCGGACUUGUGGUGGGACCGCAAACACCCUUCAUCAUAUACGUCACGUACUGGUUUUAUUGCUCCAGAGGAGAAUAGAUCUGUCAAAUUUGCAAGUCUCCUUUCAUUUUAUUAAUGUAACCACAUAUUAACUAUACAAAUCUGUCUCAAAUUGUCUGACUGCUGAGGACAUCCAGCAUGGCGUACAGAGACAGCCCAGUUAACAGCACGUCCUCCUGAGAGCGAAGCUCUGUUGGCAGAGAAGCUCCUGCCCCGGAGCCCAGAGGCGCUGUCUGUCAGCGGGGCACAGCUGACGCUCGGCACAUUCACUCACUGGCGCUGCUCUUUGCCCCGCAGCAGCGCUGUGCCCAUCGCGGAGGCUGAGCGAGGCGUGUGCGGGUUCCAGCCCGCCGCACGCUGGGAGGUGAGGAGCGCCUCGUUGUCAGCAGCAGUUUAUAGAAGACGGUUACGGUGUUGGCCAAGCACUGAAAUUGCCCAACUCGUUGAUUUCUUCAGGGGCAGAGAAAGAAACACCUUUUCUGGACCUGCACAGGCAAGAUGUCAAGGCGAACUGCUCAGAUCGGGUCAUUCUACACGUUAUCUAUACGUGCAGUGAUUCUUCGGGCUGUACAAUGGAGGCACACCAGAAGAGUGUUCCUACCGUAUGAGGAAAAGAGAUUUCUUCCCUAGUAAUGGCUAUUGAGAGCUUCUGUAAAAGCAUUUUAGAAGCUGGCUGUCAGAAACAGCUGUCUUUAGCUCUGGGCAGAGAAGCAAAGUCUUUCACCUGUACUGAUGUUUGUGAGCAACGUGUCCCAGUUCCCAGUGGAUUAGAAGAGAUAAAAGAGCAGCCAGAAAGGACAGCAGAGUCAAAACAAACCCUUAUCAGAAUACAGACAAGUGAGAGACCUCCCAAGCUUUUCACUAAAGACGCUUUCAGGAUCAGGUGUUUGAUGUCAUCUGUAUCAUCGUUCAUCUCACUCACUCCCCCUCCUCCAGCCUUGCCCUGUACCUUCAAACAAGCUAUUUGUGUUGAAAAUAAAACAUCAUAGCUUCU